CAUCAAAGUGAAGGUUAAAUUCAAUGAGAUGGGUUUGACAUUUAGUUUUGAAUUUAUGGACCUUUUGUAGAGUAUAUAUUAAGCACAGCGUGAAAAAAUAAUGUAAACCUUUUGCAAAACAGCUCUUGACGUCAGAGAAAUUUACUCCUUUAAUCAUUUCACACGAUACCCCCCAAAAACCUAAAAAUGAUUAGAAUCGUCUUGUUUCUUUUUCUACUUUCGUUCCUGGAAGUUUCCGGAGCUGACGAUACCAAGAAACCUUGUUAUGAGUGUACCCUGAUGUUCCGGGAAUGUCAUGCAUACUAUGACUGUGCAGGGCGACCUCGUGAUGCGACAAAAUGUCGGGCUUUCUGUAACGACCAGUACACGAGAUGUAUGGAUCUGUGCAAAUCUAAAAGAUAUUGAAUAUAUCAUGUAUAAACAUGCAUGUAGUUCUUUUUUUUGUAAAAAAGAAAAUGUAUACUGAAUAUCCAUUAAAGCAAUAAAAUCUUGCAAGCUGCCCAAAACAUUUCGUGUAUCAUUUCUGUACAGUUAAAACAUGUGAUUGCU